UACAAAUGUAACAAUUGUGGAAAGUCCUUUAUCAAUUCACAUCAAAAAAUCCAUAAUAGAAUUCACACAGGUGAGAAACCUUAUGAAUGUAACAAAUGUUGAAAGUCCUUCUCCUGGAAUUCAGAUUGCAACACACAUAAGAGAAUUCACACUGGAGAGAAACCUUAUG